rnacentral:lncRNA from 1 species
UGGCGGAGGACCUGGUCCUUCUCAGGUGUCUGGUAGGAUGGUCCGGGCGUCGGCCCCAGGCCUCCGCAGGGCAGGGUGCUUGGUGAAGGGAAAGGUGGGGCCCUGGGCCGUCUGUCCCCACGGAGGUGACGGGCCACUCUUGAGUUGUCCAGUCCCUGGUCCCCAACCUCCUAGAGAAGCUGACUGUGUCCUUGGGAGAGUCACCGCUGCUUAGCCCACCUUCUACCCCACCUCCACCCCAUGGGAGGUUUUUCUCUCAGUUUAUUAACUCAGGCUCAGUCAUCUUGACUUUAAUUCCUGAACAGACCAAGAGUAGUCUCCCCACUGCAAGUCCCCGCUGGCUCAUGCGGCCUUGAAUGUGCCCGUCCAUAGGCAUGGCCAAUGGGGCGUGUGUGAGGCCCCAGACGAGGCAGAGCCAAUGGCCGGGGAGGACGGAAGGGUGCCCUCUUGCCUCCCCAGGGUGGCCCGUUCCUGGGAACCCCUCCUCCAUCUGCAGGGUCUCAGGGCCUCUCCCUGGUCAGCUCCUUCCCGCUGGCCCCCGGCUCCUGGGGAGUCUGCCCACAGCUCCUCCGUCUUUCCUGCAAGGUCCUCUGCAGCUUCCACCCUCCCCUCCCCAAAGGGGCCUUUUUAAAUUCCCACGAGAGACUUCGCACAUGUGCGUUCAUUGCGAACCCCCGGCCUUCACUGUGUCUGCUCUGGUGGUGGUUGAAGAUCGCGUGGUGACUGCCCUGGCCUGUGCCCUGCGGCCUCCGGGGCUGCGUGCACCUGGCGGGACGGGGCGGGGAGCGCCCCGCCCCCGCCGAGGCCCCGCUCACUGAUGUUUAAGGGGCUUCACAGGGAGGAAGGGACGCGUCCGAGCGGCGCCUCACUCAUGAGAAAAGUAUCUGACUGGCCGGCGCCCAGCGCUGUCAGCACUCACCCCAUCUCGUCAGGACGUGUGCCCGAGGCCACGUAGAUCUUGGAGAGCAUGAGGAUGAAGACGAGGUGCACCAUGGACCCCGUGAGGCUGGCGAUGCGGGAAGCCUAUGGGGGAUGGCAAGGUGAUGGAGGAGGGAACCAGAGCCCACCACCCAGCCAGCCGGCAGGAGCAGGGAUGGAAGCUCACCCAGGCUGCGAGGACGCUGUUGUCCGACCCGGACACCAGGAUGGCCCGGCACACAGUGACGGACCCCUGGCACACAGCGCCACGGCCAUCUGCGGGGCAGCGGGUACGUGAGCCUUGUGGCUACAGCCUGACACCCCAGCACCCUCAGGCCACAGCCACAUGCUGUCCCACUCCCAGACCAGGCUGUGCG